rnacentral:rRNA from 1 species
UACGUAGGGUGCGAGCGUUGUCCGGAUUUAUUGGGCGUAAAGAGCUCGUAGGCGGUUUGUCGCGUCGGCCGUGAAAUCUCCACGCUUAACGUGGAGCGUGCGGUCGAUACGGGCAGACUUGAGUUCGGUAGGGGAGACUGGAAUUCCUGGUGUAGCGGUGAAAUGCGCAGAUAUCAGGAGGAACACCUGCGGCGAAGGCGGGUUGCUGGGCCGACACUGACGCUGAUGCGCGAAAGCGUGGGGAGCGAACAGG